rnacentral:rRNA from 1 species
UCUUUCUUGGCUCGUAGGGGCGGAACGAGUUAUCUGAACCUUCGGGGAACGAUAACGGCGUCGAGCGGCGGACGGGUGAGUAAUGCCUAGGAAAUUGCCCUGAUGUGGGGGAUAACCAUUGGAAACGAUGGCUAAUACCGCAUAAUGCCUACGGGCCAAAGAGGGGGACCUUCGGGCCUCUCGCGUCAGGAUAUGCCUAGGUGGGAUUAGCUAGUUGGUGAGGUAAUGGCUCACCAAGGCGACGAUCCCUAGCUGGUCUGAGAGGAUGAUCAGCCACACUGGAACUGAGACACGGUCCAGACUCCUACGGGAGGCAGCAGUGGGGAAUAUUGCACAAUGGGCGCAAGCCUGAUGCAGCCAUGCCGCGUGUGUGAAGAAGGCCUUCGGGUUGUAAAGCACUUUCAGUCGUGAGGAAGGUAGUGUAGUUAAUAGCUGCAUUAUUUGACGUUAGCGACAGAAGAAGCACCGGCUAACUCCGUGCCAGCAGCCGCGGUAAUACGGAGGGUGCGAGCGUUAAUCGGAAUUACUGGGCGUAAAGCGCAUGCAGGUGGUUUGUUAAGUCAGAUGUGAAAGCCCGGGGCUCAACCUCGGAAUUGCAUUUGAAACUGGCAGACUAGAGUACUGUAGAGGGGGGUAGAAUUUCAGGUGUAGCGGUGAAAUGCGUAGAGAUCUGAAGGAAUACCGGUGGCGAAGGCGGCCCCCUGGACAGAUACUGACACUCAGAUGCGAAAGCGUGGGGAGCAAACAGGAUUAGAUACCCUGGUAGUCCACGCCGUAAACGAUGUCUACUUGGAGGUUGUGGCCUUGAGCCGUGGCUUUCGGAGCUAACGCGUUAAGUAGACCGCCUGGGGAGUACGGUCGCAAGAUUAAAACUCAAAUGAAUUGACGGGGGCCCGCACAAGCGGUGGAGCAUGUGGUUUAAUUCGAUGCAACGCGAAGAACCUUACCUACUCUUGACAUCCAGAGAACUUUCCAGAGAUGGAUUG